AGUGAACGCUGGCGGUAGGCCUAACACAUGCAAGUCGAACGGCAGCACAGUAAGAGCUUGCUCUUACGGGUGGCGAGUGGCGGACGGGUGAGGAAUACAUCGGAAUCUACUUUUUCGUGGGGGAUAACGUAGGGAAACUUACGCUAAUACCGCAUACGACCUACGGGUGAAAGCAGGGGAUCUUCGGACCUUGCGCGAUUGAAUGAGCCGAUGUCGGAUUAGCUAGUUGGCGGGGUAAAGGCCCACCAAGGCGACGAUCCGUAGCUGGUCCGAGAGGAUGAUCAGCCACACUGGAACUGAGACACGGUCCAGACUCCUACGGGAGGCAGCAGUGGGGAAUAUUGGACAAUGGGCGCAAGCCUGAUCCAACCAUACCGCGUGGGUGAAGAAGGCCUUCGGGUUGUAAAGCCCUUUUGUUGGGAAAGAAAAGCAGCAGGUUAAUACCCCGCUGUUCUGACGGUACCCAAAGAAUAAGCACCGGCUAACUUCGUG
rnacentral:rRNA from 1 species